UCCGGGGCAUAAGAAGAUCGUUUCUCCUUGUUAGACCUGUCUAAAAUAAUCUUAUUAGCAAAAAGAUAACUUUUCUGAUAGGAGCAGAAGAGUACACCUUCAGAAACAAUCUUCUGGAAUAAGUAUCUCAUAAGCAAAGACGACAAAGGGUUUACUUGGCCCAACCUUUUGACUAACUUUUUGCAAAAAGAAGACGACAUUAGCUGCCUAUUUAGGAAAAUAGCCACUUUUUGUUUGUUGAUCUCACCCUUUUAUUCUUUAGCAUGCAAGCUUAUUAAUAAUAUGUUCCACAAAAGAAAACAAAAUGUUAACUGGAACGACUGCUCAUUAACUUGUCGAUGUCUAACAUUCUGUUUAUAUGCUACCAGACAUCAUAGAGGUCGAAAGCUAUGAUUCUCCUAUAAACUUGCUAUCUGCACUCUCAGAAGAACCAUGAAUGCCAUAAAUGAUAUCCUGAGCUGUGGGCCAUUUGCAUUUCU